UCCUAUUUUUCUAAUAAAGGUAGGGUUUGAGACAAGAGUACAAAGUACCCUUCCCUUUCUUUUAAAGUUGUUUGCAAUAAUGCCGCCGGAGUGCUGCAGAUAAAUUCAAAGCUUCGAUUUCUCCUUCUCUGGGCUCUGUACCAGCUGAAUCAAUAGUGGUCUUGGGUAUCUCUCACAUAGCCAAACUACUUCCAGUUCACCUAGGUUUUGAGUAAUGAAAACCUCUUUCUCUUUAUCUGGUGGUUUUGGAUGCUGGAGCAAAUCCCUACCCUUCCAUUUUUUGUGAAGAUUUUUGAUAGCUAGGAUUUUAAUUCUAACUGUCGUUAGCACAGCUAUAAUACUUCUUCCAGGUAUACUUUUAAUAUCCUUUUACUGUACUCUUUAUUCUCCUCUUCUUUUUUUGUUGAACUAUGCUUGAACUUGCUACUUUAUUGUAAAUAUGCAUGCUGCUUCUGAUAGUCAUUAUUGAAUUAUCCUUCUUGUCU